rnacentral:tRNA from 1 species
GGAGGGAUGGCCGAGUGGUUUAUGGCGCACGCUUGGAAAGCGUGUUUACGGAAACGUAUCCAGGGUUCGAAUCCCUGUCUCUCCG